GACAAAACUCAAAGUCCUUCUCCUGGGCUGCCAGGCGUUCCAAUAGUUCUCUUAGUGAGGGCCAAUUGAACUAUCAACCAAGACUCAAAAGCAAGCUGAGCUCAAGAUCAAGGGAAGUUGGGUUCCUGAAUCGCCAUCUGGAAAAAUGCCUGCCACACAAAUACAGUCAAGCAUCACAAGAGCAAGAAAUAAACUCAUCUUGUGUUAGGCACUGUGAUUCGGGUUUAUCUGCAUAGCAGCUGCCAUCCCCUUAACUAAUACAAUGUCCAACAACUCUGCACCUACAAGUGGGCAGCCCAGCCAGCUUGCUGCAGGAGGAGAGGCCAUGCAAAGCACAGGUCAGCUGUCCAUGCUCAGGCCUCUCCCACCCAGACCAACUAGCCCCACGCAAUCCAGAAGACAACCACAGAUGCCAGAAG